GGUGUGUUGGAGCAGAGAAACAAGUGAAACAUGCAGGGCUGCGGUCCUCCAGGACCAGGAUUGCCCAUGCCUGGCUCAGAGGAACUGAAGGUGGACAAUGUCUCCAUCGCGCCCAGGCACGCUCUCUGCAGCCCAGAGACCCGGCGGACGUGACGGCACGGCGCAGGAGCGGAGGACAGAUGAGGUCACCGACGGCUCUCGGAGCUCAUGAACGGCGCACGGCGCAUACUAAGGAGUUAUCACCGUGCUGCACUGCUCCUCCCUGAGGACACGCAGGAGCUGAUGUUCACAGAGUCGACUCAUUAACUUCUACAACUACCACUUUAAAUAAGGAUGAUUCUGGUCCGCGUUUAAAUAAAACUCAUGAUAAUUAGAGAGUUAUGAUGAACAGGCUUGUCAAAAACAAUAAAUCCUACAUAAUUUCUUUAAUCAA